rnacentral:tRNA from 1 species
GGGCCUGUGGCUCAGUGGUUAGAGCGCUGCGCUGAUAACGCAGAGGUCGGGAGUUCGAUUCUCCCCAGGCCCA